GAUGAACGCUGGCGGCGUGCCUAAUACAUGCAAGUCGAGCGAACAGACGAGGAGCUUGCUCCUUUGACGUUAGCGGCGGACGGGUGAGUAACACGUGGAUAACCUACCUAUAAGACUGGGAUAACUUCGGGAAACCGGAGCUAAUACCGGAUAAUAUUUUGAACCGCAUGGUUCAAUAGUGAAAGACGGCUUUGCUGUCACUUAUAGAUGGAUCUGCGCCGGAUUAGCUAGUUGGUAAGGUAACGGCUUACCAAGGCAACGAUACGUAGCCGACCUGAGAGGGUGAUCGGCCACACUGGAACUGAGACACGGUCCAGACUCCUACGGGAGGCAGCAGUAGGGAAUCUUCCGCAAUGGGCGAAAGCCUGACGGAGCAACGCCGCGUGAGUGAUGAAGGUCUUCGGAUCGUAAAACUCUGUUAUUAGGGAAGAACAAAUGUGUAAGUAACUGUGCACGUCUUGACGGUACCUAAUCAGAAAGCCACGGCUAACUACGUG
rnacentral:rRNA from 1 species